UUGGAGGGCAAGUCUGGUGCCAGCAGCCGCGGUAAUUCCAGCUCCAAUAGCGUAUAUUAAAGUUGUUGCAGUUAAAAAGCUCGUAGUUGAACCUCGGGGUCUACCCAUUGGUCAGGCUUAAUUGUCUGCACUGGUGAGAUGGAUCUCUACCUUCUGAGGAACUUUCAUGCCAUUUAUUUGGUGUGAUGGGAAAUCAGGACUGUUACUUUGAAAAAAUUAGAGUGUUUAAAGCAGACUAUCGUCUGAAUACAUUAGCAUGGAAUAAUGAAAUAGGACGGACUGAUUCUAUUUCGUUGGUUUCUAGGAUCACCGUAAUGAUUAAUAGGGAUAGUUGGGGGCAUUAGUAUUCAAUUGUCAGAGGUGAAAUUCUUGGAUUUAUUGAAGACUAACUACUGCGAAAGCAUUUGCCAAGGAUGUUUUCAUUAAUCAAGAACGAAAGUUAGGGGAUCGAAGACGAUCAGAUACCGUCGUAGUCUUAACCAUAAACUAUGCCGACUAGGAAUCGGACGAAGUUAAUUUUAUAAUGACGCGUCGGCGCCUUACGGGAAAC
rnacentral:rRNA from 1 species